UUUCCGUAGUGAACCUGCGGAAGGAUCAUUAAAAAUGGGUGACUGUAAUUUAGGUUAACCCAUUAUAAUAUCCUACCCUUGUGAUUUGUUUGUUAUGUAAAUUUUUGUCUAUCCUAAAGAAGUUGAUAAGUGUAAUAGCUUAAAAACUUUUUUUAGGAAUGCUUAAGACUUUUAUUUAAAAUUAACUUUUUGUAUUCAUUGUCUAAAAUUAAUUUUAAAUAAUAAUUAAAACAACUUUGACAAUGAUCUCUUGGUUCUCGCACGAUGAAGACGCAGCAAAAUGCGAUAAGUAAUGUGAAUUGCAGAAUACGUGAAUCAUCAAUCUUCGAACGCAUAUUGCACUUUUUAGUUUACUAAAAAGUAUGUCUGUUGAGUAUCAGUAAAUAUUCUCAUAAAUCAUUUGAUUUAUGGUAUGAUGUUUUACAACGAUAAACAAGUGUUUCACUUAAAUGGAUUUUAAUUGAAAUCGUCGGUUGGGAACGAUUUUAAUUUUUUUAAAAAUGGAUAAAUUUUCCGUAAAAAGAAUAAAGCUAUUUCAGUUUUUAGAAAUUUUAAUAGUUCCAUACCGGUACAGUUAAAGGAAUUUAUUUAUAAUAACUUGAUCUCAAAUCAGAUAAGAGUACCGCUGACUUAAGCAUAUCAUAAGCGGAGGAAAGAAACUAACAAGGAUUCCUUAGUAACGGCGAGUGAAGCGGAAGAGCUCAAAUUUGAAAUCUUCAAGUUCUACCUUGACGAAUGUAGUUUAAAGAAUGUUUCUGUUAGAGAGUGGCAAAGUUCUUUGGAAUAGACAUCAUAGAGGGUGAGAAUCCGUAUUGGUCAUUCUUCUAGCUGUGUAUACACUUUCAAAGAGUCGAUUGUUUGGAAUGCAGUCAAAAUGGUGUAAAUUUAUCUAAAGCUAAAUAUGCGAGAGACCGAUAGCGAACAAGUACGUGAGGAAAGAUGAAAGAACUUUGAAAGAGAGUUAAACAGUACGUGAAAUUGUCAAAAGGGAAGCGUUUGACACAGUGUUGUUUUUCCGAAAAUCAAUUGUGCUGCUGGAUUUGUAGGAGUUUGACCUUAUCAGCUUCUUGCUUUUUUCCGGUCUGUGCAAUGCACUUUUCGUUAACAAGUCAACAUCAUUUCUUUUGUGUAAAAGGGUAAUGGAAGGUGCUUCUUUUCGGAGAAAGUGUUUAUAGCCUUUUACUUUACAAUCGGAGAGAUUGAGGUCUGCAGCGUAAUCCUUCGGGUAAUACAUUUGUGCUAAGUUAUAGCCUGUAUAGACAACUUUUGACUAUACUCGUCAUGUAGCUUACUCGCUUAUGCUAUUUACCUACGCUUAGGAUGUUG
rnacentral:misc_RNA from 1 species